GUGCUCCGUUCGGCAGCACAUAUAAUACUAAAAUUGGGAUACAGAGAAGAUUAGCAUGGCCCCUAAGCAAGAAUGACACACAAAUUUGUGAAGGGUUCCAUAUUUAA